rnacentral:lncRNA from 1 species
CAAGUCCACUUGUUGGAAAGUCCUUUCCAUCCCUGGUUCAUACGCACGGCACCUCCCCUGGCUGGCCUGGCCCUGGAAUCGCCCUCUUCUCUGGGAGUCCCUUCGGCCACACCCUGGAACAGAUGCUGCUCACAUGGUCAGUAUACAGACCUGGAUGUCUGGUCCCUCUUCAUGCCUGUUGGCCCCCGAUCCACCCUGCAGGACGCUGGCCACAGGUACUGGCAAAUCCAUGCUGCUGCCCCCAGAUGUCCCCUGCCCUCGGGAGGGCACAGACGCCUUUCUCAGGGAGGGUGAGUUAUAGGAGGGAGACUCGUGCUCCCCGAGGAGCUAAAUCAUCCCUUGACUUGGACAAGAGCCCUUUGCCCCACGGGGGAGAUGGCUCAUCCCGCACACCCGGGACCAGGCUCUGUGUCAGGGAGAGUGCGGCUCCCAUUCUCCCAGCUCAGAGACUCGUAAAUCAUCCUUAUUAGCAGCUCAGCUCUUGAAGCAGACACAGAACAGCUGCCAGCACUGGUCUCCAGAGUGCUUCUGGGGAACGGGGAGGGGGAUGCCUCAGGGGCCCUCAUGCCCAGACGCCAGGGCUCUGCUUGGACUUCCCUUGGGGACAGCCCGCCUGCCCACCUGCUGGUUCAUGUGAGACAGAAGGACUGCAGUUCCUGUGCCCCUAGGAACUGACCCAUGGAAAUGGAGCAAGGGGUCCCGGAGUGUGGGUUGUGGCAAGGACUCUGUUUGUAGAGGUCACCUUCCCACUGGACCAGCGUUGACCAUAGCCCUGCCCCAUACUUCUUGGAGAAAUGUUGUUGCCAACCUCUGCUCUGAAGUGAUGUGGCUCUGGCUCUGUCCCCCACUUUCUUCAUCUGUAAAAUAAAAGUCUUGGUCUGGAGAGCCCCAAG